AGGUGUAUUAAUACAUGGUAAAAAUGACUCAAUAGUGAAUUUCAAUAAUAUAAUGUUCAUAAUCAAAUUCAAGCCAUGUAUAUGUUAUUAAAGUUACUACGAGAUCUGUCUGUUGGUUAGAAAAAGUUAAUAUUUGUGUAUAAUUGCGCAGGAUGAACGUUAUAUAUAAAAAUAAUUUUUAUAUAUUAUUAUUUAUUUAUGUUUAUUUACGUAUUAUGUAUAUAACUAAAUUAUAGUAAGCACAUAAAUCAAAACAAUACCGCUUGUUUCUUUAAGUUAUUUUUUGGUAAAUAAAUAAAUAAAUCAUUUUAUUUAUUUUAUAUGGUAUAUAAUUAAAUUUCAAUGACAUGGACAUAGAUAUAUAGUAUAUUUAAUAUAAAUAUAUAUUAUUGAAGUCAACAUAUCUUCUUUUUGUUUUGUUUUUUUUUUCUUUUGACAUCGAAAGGCUAUUGUAUUAUUCAAAGAACUUGAAGUGGUUUGGGUAUCCAGACCGAAAUAGAAAAAAACAAUGUAAUAGAGUUUCCUUUGAAAUGUUCUUGCAAUCUUAGCUAAAGAAUCUGAAAUUCCAUUAUAUGCUCUUGGGAUGUGAAAAAUCUUUGAGUCCGGAUAACAUAUACGCAACCUCCAAUUCAGUUGAAAAACUUGGCCAAGCUUGAGGCUCCUUUACCAUAUCAGUUAGAUCCUUGCAAUUUGUACCAAAACUCUGACAUGACGAAUGUUGAAGCAUGCUUUCCAUUGCCCAUUGCAGUGCUUCCACUUCCGAAUGUAAAGCAGUCUAUCACCUACUUAAGUUUCGCGUCUCCAUAAGUUGGAUUUUUCCCAGACUAUCCUUCCAAACCCAUCCACAACCACUAAACUGAACCGUGGAAGUCCAUGAACCAUCCACCAUACAAAUAUUUUCUAAGCUUAUUGGGGUUCUUCACUGAUAUGCUCAUGUGGAAUGAGUGGUACCAUCUCAUUUGCAUUAUACCGAGCCUGACAUUCACUUUCAGCAUAUCGGAAUAACUCCAAAGGAUCCAUGUCUAUCCCCCUGAAUAGUUUGUCAACCCGAGCCUUUCAAAUAUACCAGAUUAUCCAUGGGUAAGGGUCCUUGUCAAGCUCUAGCUCAACAAUGCUAUUCUUCUUCCAGAAGAGAUAAUCCAUAUUAGCAUAAGUGCUCGGUAGCAGGAAAAUGUUAGGACUAGAUGGUGUUGUCGAAAGGGACCAUACUUGUAAUGCUGGAGGGCAUUCAAAUAUGGCAUGAGUAACAGUUUCUUCUGGUUCUCCACAUCUUGGACAAUAGUUGUCGAAUCUCAUAUUACGGCGUAUUAGAUUUCUCGUUACAGGCACUUGUCAUGUUAUCAGCUGCCACCUAAGAUGCCAUAUCUUCUGAGGUCCUUUUUACCUUCCAAAGCAAAGGCUUGGAGUUUAGUUAUAUUGGGUUCUUGGAUCUCCUUCUCUUCUUCAGUCCUUAUUAGAUUUCAAGCUACCAGUAUCCCGAUUUUACCGUAUAGUGACCAUUCUUAGUGAGAGUCCAACGGAAUGUAUCUCGAUGAGUUAAGCUUAUGGCCAAACUUCUCAUGAGAGGAAUAUUAUCAGGGGCAACCUAAUUCUAUAAUAGUCCAACAUUACAUUCCUUUGUUUCACCGUUAAUGAGAUCACUGACUCUCAUAUUCAGAUGCAAAACUGGGGCAGUUGAUCACGGCGGUCUAGCUGGUGAAGUAGGAAUUCAAGAGUCCUCCCAAACCUUAACCUCAUAUCCAGAAUGUAUUUUUUGCCUACUUCCCACUAGUAGUAAUUUUCGUGCCGCUGAGAUACUAUUCCAUACAUAGGAAGGGCUGCUUGUUGAACUCAUUCGCAAAGGCGAACUCAUUCGGUAAUAUCUUCCUCUCAAUACUCGAGCUACUAAGGAAUCAGGAUACUGGACUAAUCGCCAAAGUUGUUUUGCUAGUAAUGCCAUGUUGAACUCGUGGAUCAUACUGAAACCAAUCCCGGAUCAUACUGAAACCAAUCCCGCCUUCUUCUCUCGGCAAACUCAUCUCUUUCCAUUUUGUCCAGUGGAUUCCUCUAUUUGGUGGAUUUGAGCUCAACCAGAAAUGUGCAAUGGCACUUGCGAGGUUCUCACAUAUCUCCUGUUGGAGCAAAAAUCUAGACAUAACAUAAGUCGGAAGAGCUAACAAUAUAGAUUUGAUUAAGACUUCUUUCCCUCCUUUUGAUAGCCAUCUUCCCGUCCAUCCAUUCACUUUAUGCAUUAGUUUAUCUUUGAGAAAAGCAAAAAAAUUACAGUUGGAGCUGCUAAUGUCUUAUGGGAUUCCAAGAUAUGUUCACAUUCCUCCUUCAGUCUAGAUCCCAAGUGUAUCUUUAAUUUGUUGUCUAACAUUUGCGCCAAUCAUCUUACCAAAGAGUAUAGAGGAUUUAUCAAAUUUGAUACAAUGGUCUGAUGCUUUUCCAUAUUUCCUUACCAUUUCAUCACUUCUUCAAAUUCACGGAGCUCCGCCUUACAAAAAAAAAGAAGCUAUCAUUAGCAAAAAAAAGGGGUGAGAUACCAAGGGACACGAACGUGUAACACGCAUCCCUGUUAUCUUCCCUUAGUUCUUUGUAUAAUUUACAAGGCUAACGCUUCGUGCGUAGAAUAAAAAUGAAAAGAAACAAAUAAUAUCCUUGGCGUAAUCCUCUCUCCGAAACAAUACUCUUCUAGGCUGCCCAUUCAUAAAUACCUUGUACUGAACCGAAGAGAUACAUCGCAUUCUCCAGGUAAUCCAAGUUUCUGAAAAUUCCAUCUUUCGCAUAACUUCUUUGAUGAAUGACUACUACAUCCUAUCAUUUGCUUUACUCAUCUCCAUCUUAAUGGUCCAGUCAAAGUCAACAUAUUUUUUUUUGGGGUCAAAGUCAACAUAUCUAAAACCAUAAAUUUCUAUUAAAAAAAUAAUGAGUAAAGCAACACCAAUUUGCUUUGGUUUCUGUGUGCGCCGGGUUCAAAUUACCAUUGGUACGGUCCGGAACUUCUAUUGUUAACCAAAAAAAAUCUUGAUUUACUUCUCUUUCAAGAAAUUAGAACGUCGAUACACACCCACGUCUCUUUUUCCUAUCAACUAAAAACCAGAUCUGCGAUUUGGAUGGAUGCUCCUCGGAUCCCUGUGACCUCGUCGGACAGUAGGUCGCUCUCCCAUCCCCUCUUUUUUCUCGGCGUCUGUUCUCCAUUGUCGAACUAAUCUAGAUUUUGGUGAUUCUCGGAGUCAAUUUAACGGAGGCAGGUGUUGCUACUUCCUUAAUCCAGUCGGCAGUCGCCGGUUUGUGACUUCCCUCAUAUUUGUGAAUGAUUAAUGUAUAUAAACUCGUGUGGUAUGCAUGUAAUAAUUAAACCUUGACACUAUACAAUUCUAUUGUCUGUCGUGCAGCAUAUUACACUUUAAUGUCCUAUAAUUGAAUAGUUUUAAGUAUUUUCAUUGUAAAUGGGAAUCUACGAAUCUCACAAACGAUGGCAAUGACAGGUCACCACUGGACAUUUGCGGCCAAUGAAUAUUGUCAGUUGUCACACUUGCUGAGAACGAGCCGUUACUGCAUUUUAAAACAAAACUAGAUUCUGACCGUUUUUAAAAGGCGAGUAUAUUUUUUGUUUUACAUUUUUUUUUAAAAUUUAAUUUUUAUAUUUAUGUUUUUUAAUCAUAUUUAUGUUUUUGUAUAAUACUUUCUUAAAUGAUUAAUAAAUUUUUUUAAUAAUUAUAUUAAAAUAGUUGGACUACAUAUAUAUCAAUAGGUCAUGUUCUUGUUUUAAUAGAAUAUAGAUAAAAAAAAAUAUUUUAUGCACUUGGAAAGCGCAGAUUUUUUUGAUUAUAUUAUAAUACAAAGUCUUAUUAUAUCGAAAAAUAUAAUUUUUAACAGUUAUAUAAUCUAUGAAUUAGUUUAUUUGAUAUUUUAUAUGUACACUUUUACGUAAGUUUCUUUUAGGCAUGAGAAUUAUAUCCGGAUAAAAGAAACAAACCGAACCGAUCGGAAAUAAAGGUUUAGUUCAGGUCUAGAGAAGAUAACCUAUUGGGUUUUUUUGGACCCGCAGGUCGUUGUUUGAGUCUGGGUCCUAUCCUAGACCCGAUCAUAAAUAUGUUGUGUUUAUUAGGUAUAUUUGGAUAUUUCGAAUAUGUUUUCGGCAUUAUGGAUAUUUUUUUAACUUUUUGGUUUACGAUUAUAGUUUUUGAUUUCAGGUAAUUUUCAAAUUAAAAUUUUUUUUUGGGUAUUUGGAUAAAAUUUUGGGUAUUUUCAGUUCAGUGUCAGAUUUUGAAUAAGAUUUUGAAUAUUUAGGUAUUUGAAUUUUUUGGGUAUUUGUUUAGAGUUUCAAGUACUUUUCGUGUUUCGAAUAUUUUUCAGAAUUUUUAGAUAUUUCAAUUUUUUUCAGGAUCCUAAAUACCCGAAUAAAUGUGGACACAUUAUGUCCAUAUCGGAUCCAACAACCUUUUGAAACAGAUUUUUAACGUUAUUGUACAAAAACAUGGUUGAUGAAAUAUUUUUAGAGAACUCAUUUUUAGAUAUGAAAAUAUCUAUCAAACUAUAGACGGUUGAAAGUUUAGUAUAUAUGAUAUGAGAUUUUAGUGGGAAAGUUUUAUAUAUGAUAUGAUUACUUUAUUAUAAAGGAAAGAGGAAGUUAGAAUGUAUACAUAUAUACCGUGUAACUUUUCUUGCUUUAAAUCAUAUAUUAUAUGAUAAAAGUGAUAAUAUAAAACAUUAGUUUCAAUGUUUUUACGAUUAAAAAUCAAAAUGAUAAAUAUAGUAAUAGUAAUGAUUAAGAUUUAAGAGUGAUAUUUGAAUAAAUAAAGGAAUUGAAUAAAUUAUUAUUAGAAAAAUAGAUGGUAACAGAUUGUUAGUCUAAGUUUAAGGUAAGACAAAAAAAUAAUGAGUUAAAUGAAAUGG